GGAAUCAGCACCUCGCUGUUGUCUGUGGAAUCCUGAAAGCAGCUGGAAUUCCGGCCCACCCAUCUCGUCUUCAUAUGAGACCAGCCCACUCUCUCUACCAUGCUGGAUCAGUCAGACCCAGAAACAUGGGACAUUUCAGCAAAAGCACAGAAUUAAAUCUUCAGUUCUGUGGG